rnacentral:lncRNA from 10 species
UAACAUUUCCCAUUAAAAUUCCGCAUGAGUUUUGGUAGAGACACAGAGUCAAAACAUAUUAUUCUAUCCCUGGUCCCCCAAAUCUCAUGUAUUUUUCAUAUUGCAAAAUGCAACGAUGCCUUCCCUAGAAUCCCCCAAGUCUUAACUCAUUCCAGCAUUUACUCAAAUAUCCAAAGCCCACAGUCUCUUCUUAGACAAGGCUGCAGUCUCUUCUGCCCUGAGACUCUGAAAUACACAGCAAAUUAACUACUUCCAAGGUACAAUGAUUGUACAGGCAUUGGUGAAGCAUUCCCAGCCAAAAAGAAGAAAUUUGCCAGAAAGAAGCACAAAACACAGAUGGGACUUAUAAACCCCCUGCAAGUCAAAAGCCCAGCAGGCCAGUCAUCCAUCCUACACAACCAAAUCAUCUUUUUGGAAUCUAUGUCCACAUCCAGAGCACAGGGUGAUAUGACAGCUGGGAUCCCAAGGCCUUGGGCAGCUCUGCACCUGUGGCAUUGCAGAAUCUUUCCCCUACAGCUGCCCUCAUUGACUAGGCUGGUGUUGAGUACCUGUAGCUUUUCAACACUAAGGGUGCAAGCAGCUGGUGGGUCUAUGAAACUGGGGAAUGGAAAAUGGUGCCUCCCUGUAUGGGGACUCCAACCCUAUACUCUGCUUGUGUACUGCCUGAGUAUAGAUUUACCAUGAGGCUCUGCCUCUUGAAAAAGCUUCUGGCUGGACAAUCAGCCUUCUGAUACAUCCUCUGGAGUCUAGAUGAAGGCUCGGAAGCUUCUAGUCCUUGCUUUAUGCACCUGCUGGCUUAACACCAUGUGGAAGCCACCAAGUCUUCGAGCUUGCAUCCUCUGAAGCAGUGACGCAAGCUGUACCUGUGCAUCUUUCAUCCAUGGCUGGAGCUGGAGAUGGAGCUGCAGGGAUGCAGGCAGCAGUGUCCUGAGGCUGCACACAGCAGUGGAGCCAUGGGGCUGGGCCAGGAAACUAUUCUUUUCUCCUAGGCCCCAGGGCCAGUGACAGCAAGGGCUGCUACAAAGGUCACUGAAAUGCCUUCAAGGCCUUUUUCCCAUUGUCUUGAAUUAUUAGCACUGGGAUCCUUUUUAUGCAAAUAUCUGAAGCCUUCUUGACUUUCCCCCUGAAAAUCAGCUUUUCUUUUUGACCACUUGUGCAGAUUACAAAUUUUCCAUAUGUUUAAACUCUGCUUCUCUUUUAAAUAUAAGUUCCAACUUAUGGUCAUUUCUUUGAUCACACAUAGGUGCACAGGCUGUUCAAUGUAGGCAGGAAAACUCUUGAGCAUUGUUGCUUAGAAGUUCAUUCCACCAGAUACACUCUAAAUCAUCACCCUCAAGUUCAGUUUCACAGAUCUCCCGGGAAGGGUCACUGUGUAGUCAAUUACUUUGCUAAGGCAAAACAAAAAAACCUUGGCUCCUCUUCCCAGUAAGUCCUUCAUUUUCACCUGAGAUCUUGUAAACCUGGCCUUCACUGUCCAUCCUUAUGUUAGCCUUUUAAUCACAACUAUUUAACAAGUCUCUGCAAUGGUCAAAACUUUCCCUCAUCUUCCUCUUUUCUUCCAAGCUCUCCAAACUCUCUAACAUCUGGCCAUUAUGUAAUUCAGAACCUGCUUCUACACUGUCAGCUAUCUUUUUUGUAGCCUGGCAAUGUGGUAAAAGAAGAAAAGUCCAUCAUCAGGGGGAAACAUCAAGAAGGCCUCCAAUAUUUGCAUUGAAAAAGCUCAGUGCUAAUAGCCAAGAGAUUGGGGGAAGGCCUAGAAGUCAUUUCAUAGCUUCACUUCGCAGCAUUAAUUUUCUGUAUGUACAUAAAAAAAGAGGUUAGUUAACUCACAGUUCUUCAGGCUAUAAAGAAAGCAUACUGGUUUCUGCUUAUAGUAGGACUCAGGAAGCCUCCCAAUCAUACCAGAAAGCCAAGCGGCAAUGAAAUGUUUCAUAUGGCAGGAGUAGAAGCAAGACAGAGAGAGGAAAGAGGUGCGACAGCCUGUUAUACAACUAGAUCUCAUUAGAGCUCACUAUCAGGAGAUCAGCAUCAAGAAGAUGGUGCUUCAAUGUUGGUAAAGGAUCCGCCCACUAUCCCAUAUCUACCACCCACUGUUUCCAAGCAGAAGCCUGAGGCAGAGGCAGAUCCUCUUGGAAAACCUCUACCAUGGCUGUUUAGAAGAAAACUAUGGGCUUGGAGACCCCAUGUAGGAUACCACCAUCCUCCAGAACCCAGAUUCACAGACCCAUCAACAGCUCACACCCCAUGUAUGGAAAAGCAACAGGCACUCAACACCAGCCCAGCCCAUGAGAGCAGCUACAGGUGCUAAACCCUGCAAAGUCACAGGUGCACUGCCUUAGUAGAGUUUUCCCAUGAGCCUCUGCAUCUGCGGCAGGCUACUCCCCUCCUGCUACACACAACCCUACAGCCAGCCUACUCCUCCCCAACUUGCCCACCUGUUUUUACUUCCAAUCCAACCCCUCUCCAAUCCAUGAAUAAAUCACCUCCCACCAGGCCCCAUAUGCAACAUUCGGGAUUACAAUUACAUGUGAGUUUAGGUAGGGACACAGCUAAACCAUAUUAUUCUGACCCUGAACCCCCGAAUAUGAUAUCCGUCUCACAGACUAAAAUACAAUCAUGCCUUUUCAAAAGUUGCCGAAAGUCUUAAGUCAUUUCAGCAUUAACUCAAAUGUAAAAAGUUCAACGUCUCACCUGAGAAAAGGCUACAGACCCUUUGGCCUAUAAGUUCCUGAAUUUAAAAGGGAUUUCUUUUCUUUCAAGGUACAAUGAUGGUACAGGCAUUGGGUAAGUUUUCUCAAUCCAAAGGGGAGAUGUUUGCCAGGAAAAUAACACAAAUGGGAUGACAGGGCCAAUGCAAGUCCAAAACCCAGGAGGCCAGUAUCCAUUCAAUCUCACAGCUCCAAAACCAUCACGAGAACUCACCAUCAUGAGGAAAGGAUUAAGGAGAUGAUGUUUAACCAUUUGUGAAGGAUCCUCCCCCACCCCCACUUUUCACCCCUCACUCCCACCAUAAUCUACCCAUUUUCCCCAAUCCCCCCCUUCCAACACCCAGUGCCCUCCAUGAUUAAAUCACCUUCCACCUGGUCCCACUUUUAACAUUUCUGAUUACAAUUCCACAUGAGUUUCCAUAGGGACACACAGCCAAAUCUUAUUAUUCUGUCCCUGCCCCACAAAUCUCAUGUCCUUCUCACUUUGCAAAAUACAAUGAUGCCUUACGUACCAUUCCCCAAGCCACUGUGCUUUUUUUUUACAGCCUGCAGAAUCAUGAGCCAAUUAAACACCUUUUUGGUAUGAUCAUACAGAAAAUUAGUACUGUGAAGUGAAGCUAUGAAAUGCCUUCAAUGACUUUUCCCCAUCAUCUUGGCUAAGACCCCCAAGGUCUUAACUCAUUCCAGCAUUUACUCAAAUGUCUGAAGCCCAAACUCUCAUCUAAGACAAAGAUGCAGUCCCUUCUGCUCCUGAGCCUCGGAAAUACAAAGCAAGUUAACUGCUUCCAAGGUAUGAUUGUCCAGACAUUGAGUAAGAAUUCCCAACCAAAAGGAAGAUUUUUGCCAGAGAGAAGAACAAAACACAAACGGGACUUACAGGUCCCAUGAAAAUCCAAAACCCAGCCGGCCAGUUAUUCAAACCUACAGCUCCAAAGUCAUCCUUUUUUAAUCCUUGUCCCACAUCCAGGGCACAAGGGUAUGAGGGCGGGGUUCCCAAGGCCUUGGGCAGCUCUCUACCUGUGGCUUUGCAGUGUUCAGUCCCCACAGCUGCCCUCAUGGGCUGUGCUGGUGUUGACUACCUGUAGUUUUUACCCACAGGGGGUACAAAGUUCUUGGUGGGUCUAUGAAUCUGGGGUCUGCAUGAUGCUGGCCUCCAGUGUGGGGGCUCCAACCCCAUAUUUUCCUUCUGCACUGCCCUAGUAGAGGUUUCCCAGGAGGCUCUGCUUUUUUGGCGCCUUCUGUCUGGACACCCAGGCAUUUUCGUAUGUCUUCCGAAAUCUACAUGAAGGCUCCGAAGCCUCUGGACUAGUGCUCUGUGCAUUCACUGGCUUAACACUAUGUGGAAGCCAUGAAGUCUUAUGGCCUGUACCCUCUGAAGCAGUGAUGCAAUCUGUACCUGUGCAUCUUUCAGCCAAGGUCGGAGCAGGAGCUGGGGCUGCCGGGAUGCAAGCAGCAGUGUCCUGAGGCUGCACACAGCAACAGGGUCACAGGGCUGGCCCAGGAAACCAUUCAUCUCUCCUAGGACCCAGGGCCUGACAGCAAGUGCUGCUGCAAACAUCUCUGAAAUGCCUCCAAGGCUUUUUCCCCCAUUGUCUUGGCUAUUAGCACUGGCCUCCAUUUUAAGCAAAUUUCUGGAGCCUUCAUGAAUUUUCCCCCUGAAAAUCAGCUUCUCUUUUUGAUCACUUGGCCAGGCUGCAGAUAUUCCAAACUUUUGAGCUCUGCUUGUCAUUUACAUAUAACUUCCAACUUGAGGUCAUUUCCUCGGUCACACAUAACCUCGGUCACACAUUAGAGCACAGGCUGUUUGAUGCAGACACCCCCUCCCAUUGUGCUAUGCUGCCUAGAAGUUCAUUCCACCAGAUAUGCACUAAAUCAUCACCCUCGAGUUCAAAGUUUCACAGAUCUUGAGGGCAAGGUCGCCGUGCAGCCAUGUUCUUUGCUACAGCAAAACAAAACUUAACCUUGGCUCCCAUUCCCAGUAAGUCCCUCAUUUUCAUCUGGGACCUUGUAAGACUGGCCUUCACUUCCAUCCUUCUGCCAGCCUUUUAAUCACAACUAUUUGACAAGUGCCCACAAUGAUCCAAACUUUCCUUCAUCUUCCUGUCUUCUUUCAAGAUCUCCAGACUCUCCAACCUCUGGCUGUUACCCACUUCUGAACCUGCUUUACAUUUUCAGCUAUCUUUGUUGCAGCCUGGCAAUGCAGAAGAAAAAGAAGUCCAUUUUCAGGGGGAAACUUCAAGAAGCCUUCAGAUAUUUGCAUUAAAAAGAAGUCCAGUGCUAAUAGCCAAGACGAUGGGGAAAUGUCAUUGAAGAUAUUUCAUAGCUCCAUUUCGCAGUACUUUAUUUUCUUUAUGAUCAUAAUGAAAAGGGGUUUAAUUGGCUCACGGUUCUGCAGGCUGUAAAUAAAGCAUAGUGGCUUCUGCUUCUGGGAGGACUCAGGAAGCCUCCCAAUCAUACCAGUAGGAAAACAGCAAUGAAAUGUUUCAUUAAGCAGGAGUAGGAGCAAGGCUGAGAGAGGAAAGAGGUGCCACACCAUCCUAUAACCAGAUCUCAUGAGAACUCACUAUCACUAGGACAGCAUCAAGAAGAUGGUGCUU